rnacentral:rRNA from 1 species
UACGUAGGGGGCUAGCGUUGUCCGGAAUCAUUGGGCGUAAAGAGCGCGUAGGCGGCCAGAUAAGUCCGGUGUGAAAGUCAAAGGCUCAACCUUUGAAUGCCGCUGGAAACUGUCUGGCUAGAGUCCGGGAGGGGCGAGUGGAAUUCCUGGUGUAGCGGUGAAAUGCGCAGAUAUCAGGAAGAACACCCGUGGCUAAGGCGGUUCUCUAGUACGGUACUGACGCUGAGACGCGAAAGCGUGGGGAGCGAACAGG